AUAUCACGCUGAAACACCGGUUCUCGUACGCUUCACCGUAGUUAAGCAACGGCGAGCCUGGUCAGUUCCUAGAUGGGUGACCGCUUGGGAAUACCAGGUGCUGCAAA